rnacentral:rRNA from 1 species
GACGAACGCUGGCGGCGUGCUUAACACAUGCAAGUCGAACGCAGUGGCGAACGGGUGAGUAACGCGUAAUCAACUUGCCCAUCAGCGGGGGACAACAGUUGGAAACGACUGCUAAUACCCCAUACGGAGGGAGGGGCUUGCGUCUGAUUAGCUGGUGGGAGGGGUAAAGGCCUACCAAGGCGAUGAGCAGUAGCCGGUCUGGGAGCAGGAGCAGCGACACGGGGACUGGGACACGGUCCAGACUCCCACGGGGGGGAGCGGUGGGGGAUCUUCCGCAAUGGGCGAAAAGCUGACGGAGCAACGCCGCGUGAGUGAGGACGGGCUUCGGGUUGUAAAGCUCUGUUAAGCGAGACGCGGUACCGGAAUAGGAAGCCACGGCUAACUACGUGCCAGCCGCCGCGGUAAUAC